rnacentral:rRNA from 1 species
UACAGAGGUCUCAAGCGUUGUUCGGAAUCACUGGGCGUAAAGCGCACGUAGGCGGAUUGCUAAGUCAGGGGUGAAAUCCUGGAGCUCAACUCCAGAACUGCCUUUGAUACUGGCGAUCUCGAGUUCGGGAGAGGUGAGUGGAACUGCGAGUGUAGAGGUGAAAUUCGUAGAUAUUCGCAAGAACACCAGUGGCGAAGGCGGCUCACUGGCCCGAUACUGACGCUGAGGUGCGAAAGCGUGGGGAGCAAACAGG